CAUGCCAAAAUCGAUUGUUACAACACCUUCUCUUAAUGUUUUGCCUUUUUGACCAGGGGGAAAUAUAGCACUUACUACAUGACACAGGCUGCUCACACGCAGACACAACUGUCACCCAAAACCCACAUUUCUUCUGCACUGAGUCAUUGCAGUUUGCGUUCAUUUACAUUAAAGUUAAGGCUGUAAAUGGGCGGGAAAAAAAAAAAUAUAUAUAUAUAUAUUUCUAUGCGCUACAUGUUUUGUUUUUAUGUUGGCGGUUGGUGGCUUUGAACGUCUGGCUAACAUGAAAUUCUUAAAGGGGACCCUAAUUGGAGUGAGACUUCACCAUUGAGAUGCUCCUGUCGGAUAUCACACAAUCGGCCACCUGCACAUGACACAAAUUAUGUGUCCGUACAAGACGACUUGUCAACGACUGUUUGGGACAUUUGUGAAAACAGGAGGACAGCCAGCCAAACCGACUCCCGUUUCUCACAGAAGAAAGUGAACAUGCUCAGAGUCCCUCAAGGUGCUAACUGAACACGAGUCUUUUCCAGGGCAGCACCUGGAGACUCCGUAUCCAGCGUUUGUGACACGCUGUUGCCCAUGGCUGCCUUCCAGCAGUGCUUCUUCAGGGAUCCGAGCAUGUAGAACAGGAGCUGGAACAACCGCCCGGAAUCUUCAGCCACGCGCCGCUUGAAAGUUUAAUGGUGACACGAGGAACGAGACGUCCAGAUGUGAACAGGGAAUACCUCUGUGAUACGGACAGCAAUCCCACCUCCUGCGAGUGUUGUACGAAACACUCAGGAGCGUUGAAUUACGUGUGCAUGCAUUAGCAGGGGUGUGUGGCAGAACAUAGGGAGCAAUGACUGCUUGAGUUAAUUUCUCUUACUUUUUUUGUAUUGUUUUGCCAGAUGACAAGUUUCAUACCAUCUGCUUCCUUUCCCCUGUUAAUAAGUUUGCCCAGCCAGCUGAGUGCCCACUCAAUUAUUUAGUACGGCAGGGCCGCUGUCAGAUCCACACUUCCAUGUCCAUCUCACCGAGAUGCAGCACAGAAUUGCUCGCAAGAACUUUAAAGGAUGAUUUUCAUACUCUUGGAAGAUUUGAUGUCACAACACAAGCACAAAAAUGAACAUACUGGAAUUCACCAAUGUGAUUUAAACCAAAUGGAUCCAAACCAAAUGGAUCCAAAAUGGUCUUGGUUUACAAAUUACAACGUGGUGGAAAUUUCUUCCAGUGUCAAUGAAAUCGUAAAUUGGGAGGAAAAAUAGUACGUUAAAGAGAUAGAUAAAAUGUACAUGUAAACAACAAAAAAAUAAACAUAUCUUAUGGUCUCUCAUUCUAUUUGUAAAACUUUGUGUAACCAUUGUAUCACGUUAUUUUUAAUAUUUAAGAGAUGUCAUAACAACAAUGCAUGUAUAUUUAGAAAUAUGAUCAUAAGCAAAAAAUAAAACACCAACAAAAUCCCCCAUUCCCCAUUUAACUGUUCAGUAGUACUUACUGAUUGUCUUCAUCCACUUUACCUGUCAUAUCUUAGAUGAGCUGCAAAGACAGUUACAUUUUAGAAUUCAUCAACAAGUUUAACAACAUUAUAAACAUGCUUUUAUACAGUAGUUGCAUGAAAAUACGAAUAUGUAAGAAUGGGUCAUUCUAUGGAAAUGUCUAUUUUGUCUCUAGCCUUUACAGAAAUAUUACACUUGAAAGCACUUUAGGGUUGCAAUUUCUUUAUGUUUUAAAAUGAAACGAUAUGUUAUUUGAACAAAUUACACCUUCUUGAGCUAUCAAUUUGUUUUUUAAUUCAUUAUUUUUAAUUCCAAGCAUCACAAAACUGCUUGUCCCUGCAGCGAUGCACAGAGGGAAAGUGCUUUAUUUUGAGGUUUUUCUACCAUUUAAAAUACAAUAAUGUAUUCAUAACUAUCAAAUAUAUGACGUAAAUGGUAUAAAACAUAAAAUGAAUAAAUAUACAAUAUAAAAUAAAAGUAGUGGCUGGAAUUGUGUCACUGGUGUUACUGUUUAACAAAAUCAUUUAUUUUGAAAUAAAACUCUCACUGAUGACA